rnacentral:rRNA from 1 species
UACGGGGGGGGCAAGCGUUGUUCGGAAUUACUGGGCGUAAAGGGCUCGUAGGCGGCCAACUAAGUCAGACGUGAAAUCCCUCGGCUUAACCGGGGAACUGCGUCUGAUACUGGAUGGCUUGAGUUUGGGAGAGGAAUGCGGAAUUCCAGGUGUAGCGGUGAAAUGCGUAGAUAUCUGGAGGAACACCGGUGGCGAAGGCGGCAUCCUGGACCAACACUGACACUGAUGAGCGAAAGCCAGGGGAGCAAACGGG